rfam:Eubacterium sp. CAG:274 genomic scaffold, scf108
CUGUGCUAGUCGGGGAGGUAGCGGUGCCUUGUAUCUGCAAUCCGCUGUAGCAGAGAUGAUGUUUCUUUUGAGGCUUCAGCCUUUGAGGUCUGACCUUGCCAACUGGUGUUGAGGGUGGAGUCUUACGCAAUAGGGUCUUGUGAACCGUGUCAGAUUCGAGAGAAAGCAGCACUAAGCAAGUAAUUCUAUGUGCCGUAAGGUAGCUUGACCUGAGUCAGUUGUCAUUGUAACGCUUGGAGUCUGUUGUCGAUGGGAAAUGCACAG